CAGAGGUUAGUUUAAUUAAAAUACUAAUUUUGGAGAUUAGAGAUGGAUUGAGUAAUCUUCCUCUGA
rnacentral:tRNA from 1 species